rnacentral:lncRNA from 1 species
AGAGAUAUGGUUUUCUUCUUGUGAUGUCUUUGGCUUUGGUAUCAGGGUCCUACUGGCCUCAUGGAUUGAGUUGGGAAGUGUUCACUCCUCUUCUGUUUUUUGCAAGAGUUUUUGAAGGAUUGGUGUUAAUUCUUUCAACAUUUGGUGGAAUUCACCAGUGAAACCAUUUAGUCCUAAGUUUUUCUUUGUGGGAAGCUUUUUUUUAAAAUUACUGAUUCAUUGUCUUUACUUAUUAUAGACCUGUUUAGGUUUUGUGUUCCUUCUUGAGUCUGUUUCAGUAGUUUGUAUAUUGUAUAUUUCUAGAAAUUUGUCCAUUUCAUAGGUUAUUGGUUGUAAUUUGUUGACACACAGUUGUUCAUAGUAUUCCUGUAUAAUUCUUUUUAUUUCUGUAAGGUUGGUAGUAAUGUCUCUUGUUUCAUUCCUGUUUUUACAAAUUUGAGCCUUUUCUCUCUUUUUUUAUUUUCUUAAUCAGUCUAGCUAAGGGUUUAUCAAUUUUAUUGACCUAUUCAAAGCCCAACUUUGGGUUUUGUUGAUUUUCUCUAUUACUUUUCAUUCUUUAUUUCAUUAAUUUCCACUCUAAUCUUUAUUAUUUGAGUUUAGUUUUCUCUCCUUUUCUAGUUUCUUAAGAUGGAAGAUGAGCCUGUGGAUCUGAGAUGUGUCUUCCUUUGAAUUAGGUGUUUGCAGCUAUAUCUUUUCAUCUAAGCACUGCUUUAGCAUCAUCUCCUAAGUUUUGCUCUGCUAUUUCAUCUUUAUCUCAAAGUAUUCUCUAAUUUCUCUUGUGACUUCUUCUUUUCCUGAUUGAUUAGAUAGGAGUUUGUUGUUUAAUUUCCACAUACUUUUGAAUUUCCCAAAUUUCCUUCUGUUAUUUGAUUUUUGAUUUAAUUCCAUUUGGCCAAAGAACAGGUUUUGUAUGAUUUCAGUCCUUUGGAAUCUGAGACUAAUUUUAUGGCCUAACGUCUGUUCUGUCCUGGAGAAUGUUCUGUGUGUUCCACGGACGUGUCUGUAGGUCGAGCUGGUCUGUAGUGUCGUUCAAGUCUUCUCUUUCCUUGUUGAUCUUCGGUCUAGAUGUUCUGUCCGCGGUCGAAAGUGAGGCACUGACAUCUCCAACUAGUACUGUUGCACCAUCUGUCUCCCUUCAUUUGUCGGGUUUUGCCUCAUGUAUUUUGGGCCCUGUUGUUAAGUGCACAUGUGUUUAUACUUGUUAUUUCUUCCCAAUUGAUUGCCCCUUUUAUGACAGGCUUCUCUGUCUCCAGUGUCAGGUUUUGUCUUCAGGUCUCUUUGUAUGAUAUUAGGGUAGCUUUGCUUCUGGUUGGCGUGGUCUAUCUUUCCCAUCCUGUUACUUUCGUUAUAUCUCUGAAUUCAAAGUGUUUCUUAUAGACAGCAUGUAGUGGAUCGUGUUUUUAAUCUGUUCUGCCCAUCUCUGCUGCUGAGCGGAGGGUUUGAUCCACUUACCUUUAAGGUGAUUACGGAAAAGGUAGAAUUUAUGUCUGCUGUUUUUCUGUUUUCCUACAUGUCUUUUUUUCUCUUUCUUCCUCUAUUGGUUUGUUCUUGUGUGUUAAAUGGAUGUUUAAUUCCCUGUGUCUCUUACUAUGUUUUGGGUAAUUUUUUAGUGGUUGCUACUUGGAAUUUGUUGAGUAAGAUAUUGAGCAUUUUUGCAUUUUUUCAUAUGUUGGAGCGUUCAUUGUUUGUCCUUUUCUGAAGAUUGUGUGUUCACAUCCUCCACUAAUUUUUCUGUUGGCUUAUUGGUUUCUUUCCUAUUAAAUUGUGGGAGCUCUUUGGUCCUUAAGAAACUGGCUCUGCGUUAUGAGUUGCCAGUAUUCCCUCUGUUUGUCUUCUGACUUUGCUCACGUU